rnacentral:rRNA from 1 species
UACGAAGGGGGCUAGCGUUGUUCGGAUUUACUGGGCGUAAAGCGCACGUAGGCGGAUCGUUAAGUCGGGGGUGAAAUCCUGGAGCUCAACUCCAGAACUGCCUUCGAUACUGGCGAUCUUGAGUCCGGAAGAGGUGAGUGGAAUUCCGAGUGUAGAGGUGAAAUUCGUAGAUAUUCGGAGGAACACCAGAAGCGAAGGCGGCUCACUGGCCCGAUACUGACGCUGAGGCGCGAAAGCGUGGGGAGCAAACAGG